rnacentral:rRNA from 1 species
AUACUGCCUCAAUCGAGAAUUUUUAUGAAAAUGUUUCAUUUGCUUCUUUUUAAUGGAAGUUUCAUUUUUCCAAAAUGUAUCUUAAUAUUUGGCCUAAUUCGUCUUCUGAUGAUCGAUUCAACCUCUCAUCAAAAAGAUAGGACCUGGUUCUAUUUCAUCUCUUCAAAAAUAAUUUUGCAAGCUGUUUUAUAUUGUGGGGUGGAGGUAGUAUUUAGGCCCAAACAUGAUACAAACCCAUGUAUACACAUCAAGCCCAACUAG